rnacentral:rRNA from 1 species
ACUCAAAGGAAUAGACGGGGGCCCGCACAAGCGGUGGAGUAUGUGGUUUAAUUCGACGCAACGCGAAGAACCUUACCAGGGCUUGACAUCUGGCGAAGCCUCCUGAAAGGGAGGUGUGCCCGCAAGGGAGCGCCAAGACAGGUGGUGCAUGGCUGUCGUCAGCUCGUGCCGUGAGGUGUUGGGUUAAGUCCCGCAACGAGCGCAACCCUUGUCGUUAGUUGUCACCAGGUCAAGCUGGACCCUUUAACGAGACUGCCGGGGACGACCCGGAGGAAGGUGAGGACGACGUCAAGUCAUCAUGCCCCUUAUGCCCUGGGCUACACACGUACUACAAUGGCCGGGACAGAGCGCCGCAAGACCGCGAGGUGGAGCGAAUCGCACAAACCCGGCCCCAGUUCAGAUUGCAGGCUGCAACUCGCCUGCAUGAAGGCGGAAUCGCUAGUAAACGCCGAUCAGCACGCGGCGUUGAAUCCGUUCCCGGGCCUUGUACACACCGCCCGU